UAGGGUUUUCUUGGCAAGGAUACUGGAGUGGUUUGCCAUUUCCUUCAACAGCUCGUUUAACAGAUGAGGAAACAGAGGUUAUACUUUUGACUCUUAUCAGACUGGAACUUCUUUCUUGUCCCUACUCCGAACCCUGGGGAGAGCAGCCUCCAUUUUUUCAGAUUCUAUGGAGAUACUGUGUCAGAGGCUGGCACUAAAGAAAAGUGCAAGGCUGAAGAGUGUGUGGAACUGAUCUCCUUGUCAGAGGUGGGGUCCCAGGAGAUUGGAAUCUUGAGGAGCAGAAGAUCUGGCUGGUAGAGGAGUUGGUCUCUCAGUCGAAAGAAGCCAAAGAGAGAAAGUUGAAUAAGACUUUCUCCUGAGGGUUGCCUACUUUUUCAUGCUUGUGACUGGAAAUCCUUCCCCCCAACAUUUCCCAAUUGAAGAGACUCACUAAAGAGAAACCUGAGAAAAGGCAUUUUGAAUCUCUGUCAGACUUUACCUCAGCUCCUGUUGCCCUGGGUCUGAACUGUGGCCAAGGGGCCAAACCCAGGGUGAGCCAACCUGACUUUCUCUCAGGGGGCUUAGGCUGCUAAGGCCUGAGUUCCCCCCCAAACUUGAGGAGGGAGGGGAAAGAGUUUUAGAUAGAGACAGGGACCCCCUUUUUCUCACUUUCCUUUCCCAUUCUUUCCCUGCCAAUUAUUCCUUUGUAUUACCCUGAUUGAGUUAAUUUGACAUUAAGAUUGUUAUUUUUUCCCCAA